rnacentral:rRNA from 1 species
AGAGCUUGAUCCUGGCUCAGGAUGAACGCUGGCGGCGUGCUUAACACAUGCAAGUCGAGCGAAGCACUUAAGUGGAUCUCUUCGGAUUGAAACUUAUUUGACUGAGCGGCGGACGGGUGAGUAACGCGUGGGUAACCUGCCUCAUACAGGGGGAUAACAGUUAGAAAUGGCUGCUAAUACCGUAUAAGCGCACAGGACCACAUGGUCUGGUGGUGAAAAACUCCGGUGGUGUGAGAUGGACCCGCGUUGGAUUAGCCAGUUGGCAGGGUAACGGCCUACCAAAGCGACGAUCCAUAGCCGGCCUGAGAGGGUGGACGGCCACAUUGGGGCUGAGACACGGCCCAAACUCCUACGGGAGGCAGCAGUGGGGAAUAUUGCACAAUGGGGGAAACCCUGAUGCAGCGACGCCGCGUGAAGGAAGAAGUAUCUCGGUAUGUAAACUUCUAUCAGCAGGGAAGAAAAUGACGGUACCUGACUAAGAAGCCCCGGCUAACUACGUGCCAGCAGCCGCGGUAAUACGUAGGGGGCAAGCGUUAUCCGGAUUUACUGGGUGUAAAGGGAGUGUAGACGGCAAGGCAAGUCUGAAGUGAAAGCCCGGUGCUUAACGCCGGGACUGCAUUGGAAACUGUUGAUCUUGAGUACCGGAGAGGUAAGCGGAAUUCCUAGUGUAGCGGUGAAAUGCGUAGAUAUUAGGAGGAACACCAGUGGCGAAGGCGGCUUACUGGACGGUAACUGACGUUGAGGCUCGAAAGCGUGGGGAGCAAACAGAAAGAGAUACCCUGGUAGUCCACGCCGUAAACGA